CCUACGGGAGGCAGCAGUGAGGAAUAUUGGUCAAUGGGCGCGAGCCUGAACCAGCCAAGUCGCGUGAGGGAUUACUGCCCUACGGGUUGUAAACUUCUUUUGUAGGGGAGUAAAAUGAGGCCCUGUUUCCUUGUUGUAGUUCCUGUAUAAAUAGCAAUCGGCUAACUCCUUGCCAGCGGCCGCGUUAUUACGGGGGUUCCGGGCUUUAUCCGGAUUUAUUGGGUUUAAAGGGAGGGUAGAUGGGUUGUUAAGUCAGUUGUGAAAGUUUGUGGCGCAACCGUAAAAUUGCAAUUGAUACUGGCAGUCUUGAGUACAGUGGAGGUAUGCGGAAUUCGUGGUGUAGCGGUGAAAUGCUUAGAUAUCACGAAGAACCCCGAUUGCGAAGGCAGCUUACUAAACCGCAACUGACAUUGAUACUCGAAAGCGUGGGUAUCAAACAGGAUUAGAUACCCGAGUAGUC
rnacentral:rRNA from 1 species